rnacentral:rRNA from 1 species
GUUGAACGCUGGCGGAAUGCUUUACACAUGCAAGUCGAGCGGCAGCGCGGCCUUCGGGCUGGCGGCGAGCGGCGAACGGGUGAGUAAUGCAUCGGAACAUGCCCAGUCGUGGGGGAUAACACUUCGAAAGAAGUGCUAAUACCGCAUACGUCCUGAGGGGGAAAGCGGGGGAUCGCAAGACCUCGCGCGAUUGGAGUGGCCGAUGUCAGAUUAGCUAGUUGGUGGGGUAAAGGCCUACCAAGGCGACGAUCUGUAGCUGGUCUGAGAGGAUGAUCAGCCACACUGGGACUGAGACACGGCCCAGACUCCUACGGGAGGCAGCAGUGGGGAAUUUUGGACAAUGGGGGCAACCCUGAUCCAGCCAUUCCGCGUGAGUGAAGAAGGCCUUCGGGUUGUAAAGCUCUUUCGGCAGGAACGAAACGGUGGGCUCUAACAUAGUCCGCUAAUGACGGUACCUGAAGAAGAAGCACCGGCUAACUACGUG